rnacentral:rRNA from 1 species
GAUGAACGCUGGCGGCGUGCCUAAUACAUGCAAGUCGAGCGAACGGACGAGAAGCUUGCUUCUCUGAUGUUAGCGGCGGACGGGUGAGUAACACGUGGAUAACCUACCUAUAAGACUGGGAUAACUUCGGGAAACCGGAGCUAAUACCGGAUAAUAUUUUGAACCGCAUGGUUCAAAAGUGAAAGACGGUCUUGCUGUCACUUAUAGAUGGAUCCGCGCUGCAUUAGCUAGUUGGUAAGGUAACGGCUUACCAAGGCAACGAUGCAUAGCCGACCUGAGAGGUGGACCGGCCACACUGGACCUGAGACACGGUCCAGACUCCUACGGGAGGCAGCAUUAGGGAAUCUUCCGCAAUGGGCGAAAGCCUGACGGAGCAACGCCGCGUGAGUGAGGAAGGUCUUCGGAUCGUAAAACUCGGUUAUUAGGGAAGAACAUAUGUGUAAGUAACUGUGCACAUCGUGACGGUACCUAAUCAGAAAGCCACGGCUAACUACGUG